GAGGAAAAGAAAUCAACCGAGAUUCCCCCAGUAGCGGCGAGCGAACGGGGAGCAGCCCAGAGCCUGAAUCAGUGUGUGUGUUAGUGGAAGCGUCUGGAAAGGCGCGCGAUACAGGGUGACAGCCCCGUACACAAAAAUGCACAUACUGUGAGCUCGAUGAGUAGGGCGGGACACGUGGUAUCCUGUCUGAAUAUGGGGGGACCAUCCUCCAAGGCUAAAUACUCCUGACUGACCGAUAGUGAACCAGUACCGUGAGGGAAAGGCGAAAAGAACCCCGGCGAGGGGAGUGAAAAAGAACCUGAAACCGUGUACGUACAAGCAGUGGGAGCCUCUUUAUGGGGUGACUGCGUACCUUUUGUAUAAUGGGUCAGCGACUUAUAUUCUGUAGCAAGGUUAACCGAAUAGGGGAGCCGAAGGGAAACCGAGUCUUAACUGGGCGUUAAGUUGCAGGGUAUAGACCCGAAACCCGGUGAUCUAGCCAUGGGCAGGUUGAAGGUUGGGUAACACUAACUGGAGGACCGAACCGACUAAUGUUGAAAAAUUAGCGGAUGACUUGUGGCUGGGGGUGAAAGGCCAAUCAAACCGGGAGAUAGCUGGUUCUCCCCGAAAGCUAUUUAGGUAGCGCCUCGUGAAUUCAUCUCCGGGGGUAGAGCACUGUUUCGGCAAGGGGGUCAUCCCGACUUACCAACCCGAUGCAAACUGCGAAUACCGGAGAAUGUUAUCACGGGAGACACACGGCGGGUGCUAACGUCCGUCGUGAAGAGGGAAACAACCCAGACCGCCAGCUAAGGUCCCAAAGUCAUGGUUAAGUGGGAAACGAUGUGGGAAGGCCCAGACAGCCAGGAUGUUGGCUUAGAAGCAGCCAUCAUUUAAAGAAAGCGUAAUAGCUCACUGGUCGAGUCGGCCUGCGCGGAAGAUGUAACGGGGCUAAACCAUGCACCGAAGCUGCGGCAGCGACACUAUGUGUUGUUGGGUAGGGGAGCG
rnacentral:rRNA from 1 species